GGAAGUGAGGGCAAUCUGGCUGCAACACCUGUCACCCUAUUGAUCUCCAGGGUUGAUGCAGCUGAUCUGGCUGGCUAGGCAGGAGUCCCUGUCCUCCUUCACCACUCCAUGUGUGUGCUUCUCAAAGCUGUGUGCUCGAAGAGGCUGACCUUCCCUGAUAGAGGAGGGCCACUCUUGGAUCAGGGGUUUAAUUUAAAAUAGAUGAUAGAUGGAUGGAUGGAUGGAUGGAUGGAUAGAUAGAUAGAUAGAUAAAGUGGAAGAGAACAAAGUCCACAUUU
rnacentral:sRNA from 1 species